rnacentral:rRNA from 1 species
AUGGUUUCCGCCAACGUGGCCCGCAACAUCGUCGGCAUCAUAGGCAAUGUCAUCUCCUUCGGCCUCUUCCUCUCCCCUGUCACCCUCGUCCUCACCAUCAACGGCAUCGGCCUCGUCAUUGAGGGUGCCUACAUCAUCAUCUUCAUCAUCUACGCGGCCAAGAACACAAGGUGGAAGAUGCUGGGCGUGCUCGCCCUCGAGGCGGCGUUCGUGGCUGCCGUGGUGGCCGGCGUGCUCCUCGGUGCCCACACCCAUGAGAAGCGCUCCAUGAUCGUAGGCAUCCUCUGCGUCAUCUUCGGCUCCAUCAUGUAUGCCUCCCCGCUCACCAUCAUGGGUAAAGUGAUCAGGACCAAGAGUGUGGAGUACAUGCCAUUCUUCCUGUCGCUGGUGAACUUCCUCAGUGGCUGCUGCUGGACGGCCUAUGCGCUUAUCAAGUUUGACAUCUACAUCACGAUCCCCAAUGCUCUCGGUACAAUCUUUGGUCUCAUCCAGCUGAUCCUGUACUUCUACUACUACAGAUCGACCCCCAAGAAGGGCAAGAAUGUUGAACUGCCCACUGUCCUCACCAAAAACGCCAUUACCAGCGGCAUUGUCUCCGUCACCAUAGAGAAAUAA